GAUUGACCUCGGAUCAAGUUGGGAUACCCUA
rnacentral:rRNA from 1 species